UGUCUUUCAAAUGGAGAAUGGGGCAGAAGUUGAAGCAGCCCCCAAAAAGGACUACAGCAUUAUGCCACUGCUCGCUGCACCCCCGCAGGUGGGACAAAGGAUUGCCUUCAAGCUGCUGGAGCUGACGGAGAACUACACGCCAGAGGUUUCAGAAUACAAAGAGGGAAAGAUCGUCAGAUUCGACCCAGUGACCAAACAGAUGGAGCUGGAGAUAUUUAAUGAAACUCAUGGUAAGU